rnacentral:rRNA from 1 species
AACGAACGCUGGCGGCAGGCUUAACACAUGCAAGUCGAGCGCCCCGCAAGGGGAGCGGCAGACGGGUGAGUAACGCGUGGGAACGUACCCUUUGCUACGGAAUAGCUCCGGGAAACUGGAAUUAAUACCGUAAGUGCCCUACGGGGGAAAGAUGUAUCGGCAAAGGAUCGGCCCGCGUUGGAUUAGCUAGUUGGUGGGGUAAGGGCCUACCAAGGCGACCAUCCAUAGCUGGUCUGGGAGGAUGAUCAGCCACAUUGGGGCUGAGACACGGCCCAAACUCCUACGUGAGGCAGCAGUGGGGAAUAUUGGACAAUGGGCGCAAGCCUGAUCCAGCCAUGCCGCGUGAAUGAUGAAGGCCUUAGGGUUGUAAAGCUCUUUCACCGGAGAAGAUAAUGACGGUAUCCGGAGAAGAAGCCCCGGCUAACUUCGUGCCAGCCGCCGCGGUAAAAC